rnacentral:rRNA from 1 species
CCUACUGGUGGCAGCCGUGAGGAAUAUUGGUCAAUGGGCGUAAGCCUGAACCAGCCAAGUCGCGUGAGGGCUGAAGGUUCUAUGGAUCGUAAACCUCUUUUAUAAGGGAAUACAGUUCAUGACGUGUCCCGUGUUGUAUGUACCUUAUGAAUAAGUAUCGGCUAACUCCGUGCCAGCAGCCGCGUUAAUACGGAGGAUCCGAGCGUUAUCCGGAUUUAUUGGGUUUAAAGGGUGCGUAGGCGGCCUUUUAAGUCAGCGGUGAAAGUCUGUGGCUCAACCAUAGAAUUGCCGUUGAAACUGGGAGGCUUGAGUAUGUUUGAGGCAGGCGGAAUGCGUGGUGUAGCGGUGAAAUGCUUAGAUAUCACGCAGAACCCCGAUUGCGAAGGCAGCUUGCCAAGCAAUGACUGACGCUGAUGCACGAAAGCGUGGGGAUCAAACAGGAUUAGAUACCCGGGUAGUC